rnacentral:rRNA from 1 species
CCUACGGGAGGCAGCAGUGAGGAAUAUUGGUCAAUGGGCGCGAGCCUGAACCAGCCAAGUAGCGUGAAGGAUGACUGCCCUACGGGUUGUAAACUUCUUUUAUAAAGGAAUAAAGUGAGGCACGUGUGCAUUUUUGUAUGUACUUUAUGAAUACGGAUCGGCUAACUCCGUGCCAGCAGCCGCGGUAAUACGGAGGAUCCGAGCGUUAUCCGGAUUUAUUGGGUUUAAAGGGAGCGUAGAUGGGGUGGUAAGUCAGUUGUGAAAGUUUGCGGCGCAACCGUAAAAUUGCAAUUGAUACUGGCAGCCUUGAGUACAGGUGAGGUAGGCGGAAUUCGUGGUGUAGCGGUGAAAUGCUUAGAUAUCACGAAGAGCACCGAUUGCGAAGGCAGCUUACUAAACUGCCACUGACAUUGAUGCUCGAAAGUGUGGGUAUCAAACAGGAUUAGAUACCCCUGUAGUC